GGGGGUAUAGCUCAAGGGUAGAGCAUGUGCUUAGCGUGCACAAGGCCCUGGGUUCAAUUCCCAGUACCCCCA
rnacentral:tRNA from 1 species